AGGAAAGCAGGGGAUCGUAAGACCUUGCGUUAAUGGAGCGGCCGAUAUCUGAUUAGCUAGUUGGUGGGGUAAAGGCCCACCAAGGCUUUGAUCAGUAGCUGGUCUGAGAGGACGACCAGCCACACUGGAACUGAGACACGGUCCAGACUCCUACGGGAGGCAGCAGUGGGGAAUUUUGGACAAUGGGCGCAAGCCUGAUCCAGCCAUUCCGCGUGAGUGAAGAAGGCCUUCGGGUUGUAAAGCUCUUUCGCAAGGGAAGGAAACUUAUCUAAUAACACUAGGUGAGGCUGACGGUACCUUGAUAAGAAGCACCGGCUAACUACGUGCCAGCAGCCGCGGUAAUACGUAGGGUGCGAGCGUUAAUCGGAAUUACUGGGCGUAAAGCGUGCGCAGGCGGUUCUGUAAGUCAGAUGUGAAUCCCCGGGCUCAACCUGGGAACUGCGUUGAAACUACAAAGCU
rnacentral:rRNA from 1 species